GUAUUUUGAAUUAAGUAUUCAUAAUAGUUUUUCAGACAAAGUGGUUCAAGGUUAUAGGUUGGUGUAGGUGUGGACUUCUACAAGUAGAAGUUCACACAACAUUGCACACAAGGUGAGUACUAUUUUUAAAAAGUGCAGUAGAACACUUAUUAUGAAUGAUCCUUCCGCAGGUUCACCUACGGAAA
rnacentral:misc_RNA from 1 species